rnacentral:rRNA from 1 species
AGCGAACGCUGGCGGCAGGCCUAACACAUGCAAGUCGAGCGGAUGAAGAGAGCUUGCUCUCUGAUUUAGCGGCGGACGGGUGAGUAAUGCCUAGGAAUCUGCCUGGUAGUGGGGGAUAACGUUCCGAAAGGAACGCUAAUACCGCGUACGUCCUACGGGAGAAAGCAGGGGACCUUCGGGCCUUGCGCUAUCAGAUGAGCCUAGGUCGGAUUAGCUAGUUGGUGAGGUAAUGGAUCACCAAGGCGACGAUCCGUAACUGGUCUGAGAGGAUGAUCAGUCACACUGGAACUGAGACACGAUCCAGACUCCUACGGGAGGCAGCAGUGGGGAAUAUUGGACAAUGGGCGAAAGCCUGAUCCAGCCAUGCCGCGUGUGUGAAGAAGGUCUUCGGAUUGUAAAGCACUUUAAGUUGGGAGGAAGGGCAGUAAGUUAAUACCUUGCUGUUUUGACGUUACCGACAGAAUAAGCACCGGCUAACUUCGUGCCAGCAGCCGCUGUAACAC